rnacentral:rRNA from 1 species
GACGAACGCUGGCGGCGUGCCUAACACAUGCAAGUCAACUUGACUGAAGGAGCAAUCUGACAGUAGAGUGGCGCAAGGGUGCGUAACGCGUAAGUAACUUGCCCAAGGUAAGGAAUAACGUCGAGAAAUCGGCGCUAAUACCUCAUAAUGCAGCGGAUCCGCAUGGAUAUGUUGUUAAAGGUUUACCGCCUUGGGAUAGGCUUGCGUCUGAUUAGCUAGUUGGUGUGGUAACGACACACCAAGGCUACGAUCAGUAACUGGUCUGAGAGGAUGAUCAGUCACACUGGAACUGAGACACGGUCCAGACUCCUACGGGAGGCAGCAGUGAGGAAUAUUGGGCAAUGCUCGAAAGAGUGACCCAGCAACGCCGCGUGGAGGAUGAAGGUAUUCUAUAUCGUAAACUCCUGUGAGAGCAGACGAAAGACAGAUUAUUAAUCUGGAUGACUGUAUGCUCAGAGGAAGCCCCGGCUAACU